rnacentral:lncRNA from 1 species
CCAAACACAUUUGCACACAACAAGGCAGCAAUCGGUUGGAUUGGAGCUUGGCAAUUUCAUCAAAAAUCUUGGCAAAGGGACCAAACUCUUCAUUGAGGUAUUUAUCUCCCUUUUUUCCAGCUUUUCUUUUUUUAAUUAACUAGAUUGAAUGUAUGUGUGGUUACUUUUUUUAUUGCUUAUUUUUGCUGGUUUUUGUUGGUGUUGUAUGGAUGAAAUUUUGGGAUGGGUCAUGAACAAAAUUAGGAAAAAAAGAAACGGUGCUGUGAAUGCAUGCCAAAUGUUUGAAAAAAUGUUUGAAUGAAAAAAUGAAUCAAAGGAGUGAAUUUGGUGUGUAUGUUUUGCUUAAAUGGAUGACCAUUAGCUAGCAAAGAUCUGAAAAUGCUUGGUUAUCCAAAAUUUUGGGAGUUUUUGAGCCUUCAAAGCAUUAGAAUAAUUUUCUUCAUUUUUGGGGCUGCUUUGACUUAAUGCUUUAUUUUGUUGUUGUUUAUUUGUCAAACUAAGAUUAUAGUUGUAAUGUAGAAGUUAUCAGGAGGGUUUUGGCAUAAUUUUUAUGAUUUUUGGUGAAGAUGUGAAGGUUUUAAAAAAUAAAAAAACUGAACUGAUUUCUUGGCAUUUUGACCACUUUCGACUCAUUUUUUGUAAAAACUAACUCCGGAAAUGGAAUCUACGCGAAAAAUCGAGUGAGGGGGUGUAUUUUGAGAAAAUUUGGUGACCGGAGAGAUCGCCGGCGGCGGUCCGGUGGUGGCGCCGCCGGAGGCAACCAUGGCCGCCAGCAGGGAGAAGCUUCAGCUUCUCGGUGGAAGAAGAAGAAAGAAAAGAGGAAGAAGAGAAGAAAGAAAAGAAAAGAAAGAAAAGAAAGAAAGAAAAAAAAAAAGGAUUUGGGCUGAUGUUUAUUUUUCUGAUGGGCCAAGAGUUAGUUUUGGUUGGGUUUUGAAAAUGGGCUUUGGUUUAUUUUUCUUUUGGGUUUCGGUUGGGCUAGAAGGUCAGAGCCCAUGCCUUUAUUUUGGUUGGGUUUGAGUGAUAGAAGACGGGUUGGCCUUGUGUUUUGGCUUGGACUUUCGGUUGGGCUUAGGUAGUAUCCAGCCCAAAUAAAUAAAAAUAACGGCCCGAUGGCCUUUCUUCUCCCAAAUAAGAAAACGUAUUUGCACUUUAGCCCCUAUUUUUUGGAGUAGUUUCAUUGUGGCCCAGAAUAUUUUAAUUUUAUUUCAUAUAGGUCCUUAUAGUAAUUUCACUUUGGUCCCUAAAAUUUAUCUUUCAUUUAAUUUUGACCCCUGAACUUUGAAAAAAUAUAUUUUUUGUCCCCAAAAGUUUUUCAAUUUUUGCAAUUCAGUCCCUAAUGAAUUUUGACUCUUUUUAUUGUGAUUGUUUCUUUUAUUUAAUAGCUAAUUAUGUCGCUUUUGAAUAUAUUUAACUUGCAAUUUUUAGAUGUUCUUAAAUUUCUUUGCAUUUGACAUGUUAACGUGAAUUUAGUGUUUUAACAUUAUUAUUAUUAUUUUCAAUUAAAGUGGUGCCAUGAUUCUUUUGUUCAUUGUGAGUAUAAAUAGGACAAUUUGACUCCAUUUAGUCACCACUUCAAACGGGAGGUACCCCUAUUUUUAUUAUUUCAAUGUCAAUUAUGUGCUCUUAUGUGCUCCUAUGUGUUCCUAUGUGUUUAUAUAUUUUUAUAUGUUUUAUUUAUUGCAUUUAAAUGUUCAUUUAAAUUUUCUUAUAUUAUAUUUGUUUAGUUUAUUUUUAUAAUGAUUCAAGAGGUAUUUAAAUACCUCAAAAAUGUAAUAGAUAGGAUAAUUAGAUUUGUUUUAUUAUAUUUUUCCCUUCUAGUUUGUAGUUAGGCACUCCCCGAUGUAAUAGAUAGGUUGCGUGUUAUGUGGCUUAUGUGUUAUGUGUUUUAUCCGUUUUCCUUAGGAUUUUCGCAUCUAGAUAUUAUGUUUACGUGUUAUGUGCUACGUGCUUUUAUGUGUUUAUUUGUUUUAAUUUAUGUUUUAUUUGUUUCACUAUGAAUUGUUAAUGCAUGACGUCACCACACUAGUCCAACGCUAGUUGUGGUUUCUCCCUCCGCUUACUUGCUAGUCCAACGCUAGCAAGGAUUUUUAGAAAUGGGCUAGUCCAACGCUAGACCCUUUAGGUCAUCUUGCGCUAGAUUCAUCAUUGUAUGCUAUUCACCACAUUUUCAUGCAUAUUUUCAUUUUUAGGAUCUUUUCUCAUUUGCAUGAUAUUCCCUAUUUUAUUAUCCCCUACCCGCUAUAGGUGCUAAUCAUGUCAUUUAGAAUUGCAUCCCAUUUAAGCUAGUUCAUUUGCUUGUUCAUGUUAGGAUAAUUAUUUUUCAAACAUGGGAAAUGGGUGAUUAUAACUUUCUAGUUUAAAUACCCUAUUAAUCCAUGUAUAAGAAAAUUAUGUCACGAAUUUUUUUGCCUCCCGUACCCUUCAUGUUGCAUUCCCUUUUUCUUUGAUCACUUAUAUAUAUGUAUAUAAUUUAUUUUCUUUUCUUUUUCAUCAUUUGCAUCCUUGUGACACCUUCGAGGAUUUAUUUUGACCUUCGCAAUUAAUGCGAUUGGUUCAACUAAACCCUUGAAUGAACAUGUUGUCCCUUGCGAUAUUUUUUAAAUUUGCAUUCAUAUAGAAAACAUCCAAAUGUGAUAAAUUAAGGGUUAGAUUAGGAAAAUUUUGACUAAACCUCGCAACUAGCUUAGACUAGGUUGAAAGGGUGCCUUAGAUUUGAGUUAAUCGAAUCUUUGCCUUCCCUUUCUUCAACCGUGACUCCCGAAUCCAUUUUCUCUUGUUUUCAAAGACCUGGAGUUGUCAAAAAGGGUUUUAUUUUGUUUUACUUUAUUUUUUGGGUGACUUGGUACACCAAAACUCCAUACCAAGUGGCGACUCCUGUUUUUUCUUAAAAAUCCUUUUAGACUAAAUUUUGGACCCAAAUUGUCGCAUUCUUUUUAAGUCCCAUUCUAGGUCCCUUUUAACUUGUUUAAAAAUAAAAUCAUAUCUUUUAUAAACCUCACACUUUAUUUUUCUUUUCCAUUGCGAAAAAUGGGGCGCGACAACUUGGCGACUCCACUGGGGACGUUAGAGAGUCCAAGCACUUGGCUUAGUCGUCUUUUCUCUUUUUAAUCCUUAUAUUUAUCAUAUUUGGAUGUUUUAGGUUGCAUGUUUCUUUUUUAGGAUGUUUUGCAUUUCACACUCGUAAUCGUUCCUCGUCUUACGUGUAUGUGAUGAAUGGCUUAUUUAUUCAUUUAUUUAUUUUUUCUCGUAUCGCGCUUUGCAUUUGGGUGGGGGAAAAUAUCACCGUAGAGCCUCCACACGUGUUUUAAUUAUAAUCUCUCCCCUCAAAAGGAAGCACUUCAUACGUGCAUGCAUUAUUUUUACCCUAUUUUUAUUUUUCUCGUGGGCGCCAUCCCACAUCUCCUUGUAGGAUUAGGAUCGAUUUCCUUAGGUAGGCGGAUGGUGUGCUCUGCGCCCAUAGCGAUGCCUAAGGGAUCACUCAAGCCACCGACCGAAGGUUUUGGGAUUGAUGACCCUUAACUUUUUGGUCUGAAGGCUUGGGAGCCUGAAAUCUUAUCGAGUCUAGAUGCAUUAGUAAGCCAAACCUCAUGCAUCCAUAUUAGAAAUUACCUAGGAUAGAGUCAACCUACCUAAUUAGGAGCACUAAGCACGAGGGGAGGGGUUUCACCCCUCUUUCUUUGCUUUAUUUACUUUUCAUUCUUGUAUCAUUUAUUGUCACAACGUGUUAUAUGUUACUUGUUGAACUAACCUCUCCUUGUUUUUCCUUUUUCUGCAUACACAAAUUUUAGAAAUAAGAGUCCUAACAUGGUACUCGUUUAAGAUAAGACCGCCUCUUAUAUCAAGCAUGUUUAAAUUUUAGUCAAUUGCAUAUGCAUAUGUAUUGCACAUCAUUUUAGGCUUACCCCGGCAUUUAAAUGGGGCACUUUUAGGUCACAUUUCAAUUAUUUCAUUGUAUAUUUAAUCGCUUUAAUAAACUGGCAUCAUACAUCAACUUUAGAGGGAAUGCCGCAUAGGGGAUCCCACGUUAAGAAUAAGUCACCUUUUGUCUCGAAUAUAUAAUUCAAUGAGACUUGCACGUUUAUAUUUUUGUACCAUCAAAAGGGGUAGUGCACAAGGUAAGGUAGAAUCCGAUCGUUUUUCAUAACACGAUCUUUGGAAUGUGAGCACCUAACAAUCAUCCUUUGGCCAUUUUAACAUAUUUGGUAAAAUCCCCUUGCACAAAAGAUAUUAAUUUGGAAAAGUUCACAAAUAAUUUCACAUUGUUGAGACGAUAAAUAUAAUCGAGGCCAAAUCUUGAUUUUAGAAGGCUCAUAAACUGAUGCAUCGCAAUGAAUUUUUUGGAAACUAUCAACAGGUAGCCAAUUCAAUAAACUCUCAUUUCCAUUCAAUUCAUUUAAUCAAAUUAUCCAUCAAAUUCAUCCAAUCUAUUUGGUCAAUUCAUUCAUUUUUAGGACAAUUCGGUCAAUUUUGAAUAAAUCGUCAUUUUCAUUUAUUUGAUCAAUUUACCCCUUUUUAAGGUGAUCCAACCAAUUUUGAAUAAAUCAAAUUUUAUUUAAUUCAUUUGAUCAGUUUGCCUAUUUUUAAGGUGAUCUAGUCAAUCUUGAAAUAAAUCAUUAAUUUCAUUCAAUUCAUUUGACCAAUUUACCCCUUUUUAGGGUGGUCCAGCCAAUUUUUGAAUAAAUCCUCAAUUUCAUUCAAUCCAUUUGAUCCGUUCAUUUACUUUUAGGAUAAUUCAGCCAAUUUUGAAUAAAUCAUCAAUUCCACCCAAUUCGUUAUCCUUUUUAGGACAAUUCAAUCAAUUUUUUAAUAAAUCAUCAAUUUCAUUCGAUCCAUUUGACCAGUUUUAUCCACUUUUAGGAUAAUCCAAUCAAUUUUUGAACUAACCAUCAAUUUCAUUCGAUUCAUUUAACCCAUUUAUUCUCUUUUAAAGUUUCGAUCUAUGGUUCACCGAAUAAACUAGUCGAGACAUUUCAAUUCUUUCAAAAAUAAACUUUUCACACUAAAUUGAUUUUUAAUAUCACUUUAUGUGCCAAUCAAAGCAAUCAAUCCAUUCGGACUUUGUCCUCAUUUUGUUAGAACAAAUUGUCUCUUGUCACUCCAAUUAUCCAAUUUUUUCAAAAUUGUCUUUUAUCCGAAUCUCAAUAAGUCGAUCGGAUCCAUCAGGUAUUGUAUGGUGCCUACCCCAGAGGAUUGCAUUUUUCAUACUAGGCCAACCCUUGGCAUAAAAGGGCCCCCCAUAGGACAUGCAUAUCGAUUUUGCAGUUUUGCUUACUAACUCUGGGUAUUUUACUUUUAUUUUUUUCCCCUCCCCUGCAUUUAUAAAAGUUGUUUUAACAAGGUAAAAAAAAUAUUUUUCCUAUAUCUGAUAAUAUUUUUGGGUCUAAUAAAUUUUGAAAAAAUUACAAAUGUUACUUGAUUCUUGGGCAGAUCCUACAAUGUGAAAAAAAAAAUGAAAAAAAAAAAGAAUGAAAAAUCCAUUUGAAAAUGCUAGUGUAAAGCAUCUCAAAAUCUCUUGAUUCAUUGUUUCUAAUCCAUUUUGUCUCAAAAGAUAGAAAGAGAAAGUGUGUAUAUAUUUGAAAGUGUAUUCUUUAGAGAUUUUUAUUUUUCUCACAUGUAUUACAUUUGGGAAAAUUCAAACAUUUGAAUAAUAAAGUUUUUAUUUAGACAAUUAUUGUUUGGAUAUACUCAUUCUUUAUUUGUUCAUUGGGAGAUUUCAUGAUGAAUACUAAGAAAUAAGGCUAAAUUGAAAUUUUUUGACCUCUUGUUCGAAAUUCAUGAGUGUAUGUCCAAUUCUCAAAAUUCUUUGCAUACACUAGAUUUGUGGUCUAAACUAUUCAAUGAGAGCUGUCGAAAAUAAAGAGGGGUCAUUCAAAUUUGAUAGUUUGUCAUAAAAGAUCAACCCUGACACUUUUCUUUUUCAUUGUUUUGUCCACUUCUAUUGAACCUCCAAAGUCAGUCGCAUUGGUUGACUAGCUUCAAAGUGAGGCAAUUUUUACCGUAAAAAUAUCCAGUGUGUCUAACCAGAUUCAAUCCACAUCUGAUUGAAAGCAAAAAUGUACAUUACUUCUUAUUUGUUUUGGAAAUUUGGAAUGAUACUUUAGGCUUUCGUUUCUCUAUCUAUACAGAUUUUAUCAUUUGUUUUCCCAUUUGAGACUUCAAAAAAUAGAAUUUCGUUUCAAAUAAAAGCCUCAAUGAUCAUGACCCUCCAUGGAAAGAUUUUCGAAUGUCAAAUGGAAAUGGAUUUUCUCAACGGGUUAUUCUUUACUUUGGUUGUCAUGAGAAAUAAGAAUGAUGCUUUGGCCAUCGUUUCUACCAUCUAAACACUUUUAUCAUUUGCAUCCUCAUUUGAGCCUAAAUUGGUGGUUCAUUUCAAAAGCACUUGUGAUUGCACCCUCAUACUGGGGAAGGAGAUUUCAAAAAAAAAAAAAAAAAAAAAAGAAGAAAGGAGAAAAUGCUACAAGUUGGGGAAAUUUGACUCUACCAUUGAUAUUUGGUCUUCACAUGAUCAAAAAGCGAAAGAGGGGCCAUUACACUCCAAAUUAGGGAAGUUUUCAAUUUUAUCGCACUUGACAUGCUAGAUAUCCGAGUAUUGGGUAAAAAAAAAAAAAAAGGAAAAGAGAGAAGAAAAAUGUGAAAAAAAAUGAAAAAAAAAGAAGAAAUAGAAAAAAGAAAAAGAAAAAUGCGAAGACAUCCAAUGCUGCAUUCCCCUUAGUGAUUGUUGAAGAAGAAAGAGGAUUGAUAAGAAAAAGGGAGUCAAAAUGGGAUUCCGGAUUUUAAGUCUAAAACUGUGGCAAUUUUUGGGAAGAAAUGCGAUCUUAAGUGCGUUGUCCUUGAAAGUUUUUUUCCUAGCUAUCGUUGUUAAACUACAUUACAUAGCCCAUAAAGUCCAUUGCUGACUUGUCUUUCAUGACAAUUUGAAGUGAAAAUCUUGCCUCUAAGGGAUCUACCAAUCACUCAUGAUCAGAAGGCCAUAACCUGUUUUCAUAUGUUUAGCUAUCGUUUCUACCCAUAUAUUACAAGCAUAUACAGCUUAUAUGUUGACUGAGUUUUCUUAGAAAAUAAGAGUGAUAAACUAUUUGCUUUCACCAAGAUGUGAUAUUGAAUGUGUUGGGUACAAUUUGGCAAAAAAAAAAAAAAAAAAAAAGACAAAUCCUAACAUACCAUUCCCCUGAGUCACCUCAAAAUCAUGAAUAAUACCCAUUUGGUUGGUUCUAAAAGAUGAACUAACAAGAAAGGGACCCCUUUUCCCUCAACACCGAUCCCAAAAUGAGGAAGAGAUCUUUUGCAAUUUGGUCCUAUUUUGAGAGAUUUAGCAUGGAAUCUUCUAUAUGAGUUUGGAUAUGACAUUUAAUUUUUUUCAUUUGAAAAAUAUAGUUUCUAUUCACAUUGCAUGUUAGUCUUCUAAAUUUUGAAAAAAAAAAAAACAGUUUUCUGGUUUUGUCUGGUUAAAUGGAGAACCAUUCGAUAAAAUUCUAUAAUAGGCCCAAAUUGGGGCAAAUUCUUUGUAAUAUAUUUGUGAGAUUUUUGUCAAAUAGGUUCAAAUUGAGGCAAAAUUUUACAAUGCAUUUGUAGGGUAUGUCCAAGGUCAAGUAUAUUUUUCAAAUUUUGAUAAGUCAACACUUGGCAUGAAUCUUAAUUGUUACAUCAUUGCUCAAAAAAAAAAAGAAUUUUGAAAAAUUCAAGUGCUUUGAAAAACCCCCCUUGUGCAGGUGUUUAUGGUUGAGUUUGAGGAAAAGACGCAAGUGAAAAUCUUGUAAAUUUGGAGGGUAAUCACGAAUAAAAAGGGGGCAAUAAUACUACCUUGCAAAGUGGAGGAUCGGCUAUUUAUUCAGAAAGAGUGCAUACUUCAACAAUCAACUUGAAAAAAAAAAAAAGAAGAAAAGAGAAAUAAAGAAAGGGGAAAUGAAAAAAAAAAGAAGAGAGAGAAUAGUAAAAAAAAAAAAGGGAAAAAAUGAAAAAAAAAAAGAGGAAAAAACGAAAAAAGAGAGAAAAAGAAAAAAAAAGGGGAUUGAAAAAAAGAAAAAGGAAAAGAGAGUUUUUCCUUCGAUUUUGCAAAUUUUGCAAUUGAACUCUGGGAGCAUUUCAUUAGAGAUUACAUUUCUAAGUUGGGGCAACACCUUGCCCUCUUAUGUCGAAAUUGAAGUGGUAAUGCAUGCCAAAAUCGAGAUCCCGUCCUUGCACAUUUUGACAAAGGCUCAGGCAGAAGAAAUCAAAUGGAUUAAGGAGCACAAUGAGUUGUUGUCUCUAAUUGAUGAAAAAGAGGUUGAAUGUUUGUCAUGGACAAUGCUAUCAUCAAAUGAUGGUUCGUUAGAAAGACAAAUCUCGCUUAUUUGAAGUGAGGGAUAAGGUUUUGAAGUAAAUUUUUCCGAUUCAAGAGGAGGUUAAAGAAAAGUUUGCUCCAACUUGGCAAGGGCCAUUUAUUGUUCAAAGAGUGCUAUCCGGAGGAACGUCCAUUCUUACAGAACUGGAUGGACAGGUUUUUCCUUUGCCAAUCAAAGACAUGUGUAAUAAAUUUUUUAUCUGAUUAUGUGAUUUUUCUUUUUGAAAUACCAUCUAUGGCGGAUCAAAGGCGAGCCUUCUUCUUUUCUCUUUGAACAUCUUAUCCCUAGUUUUCCCCAUUGAACCUCCAGAAUAAUUUAACCCUUUAUUUGAUAGCCCUCCUAAAGAUUGCAAAUUCCACACCAGGGCAAAUUUUAUCUCCUAUUUGUCCAAAAAAAAAAAAAGAAAAAAAAAAGGGAUUCAAAAGCCAAACUGGGGCAAUUUUUUUCAGUAUUAAUACCCUCAUACUGGAGCAAAUAUUGAUAGAACGUCAUCUUAGGGUUUUGAAACCUUUUUGAAGAUUUUGCUUUCAACCUUUAAUAUUUCUCUACCCCAUCUGAGCCCAUCACAAAAAUCAUGAAAGUCUCGACCUCCGUUUUAGUGGCAUUUCUGAUAAAAAUCACUUAAUCAAAUGGCAAAUGAUGUCAAUACACCUUCACCAAUUUUGCAUGGGAAGGAUUGUCACACUGAUGCCAUUAUUCUUUAAAUAUAUUUCUGAGUUGAUAAAGGUCGUUGGCAAGAUUUGUUCAUUGAGUGAAAACCGGAAUGGGUGUCUUUUCAAAAGGAAAAAAAGAGAGAGAGAAAAGAAAAAUGAAAAAAAAAUGAAUGGAAAAAAAAAGAAAAAAAAGAAGAAAUAGAAAAACGAAAAGAAAAUGGGGGUGACCUUAGGAAAAAUCCGAAAUGCUAAGGUCAUCAAUGUAAGGUUUUGGAGCACAAGAGAAUCAUGAACGAAGAGCAGAGUGUUGAAACUUGAAACGGACAUUCCUUCAAAUCUGGUCAUUAGAAAGAGUUGAUUUGUGAUACAAAGGGAAGUAUGACUGACUGAUGCUAAAAAACUGAGAAGAUUCAACACAAGUUGCAGCACAACUCUUGGGGGGCAGUUUUGACAUCAAAAGAUCAUGCUUACAUGGUUCUCAAGGCCAAAGGAAUCACAAGGGAUCACAUGGGUGGUGGCAUUAUGUGAUCACUUUUUUUUUGUCUUUUCGAAAGCAUGAAAAAUGUGGUUUUUGUUAAACAUGAUUUACGCUGGAUCAAAUAGCAAAAGGAGUGAGCUCCAAUUUUGGUAAUGCAUUCUAAAUCGGUUUUGUGAAAGAAAAAAAAGUGAAAAAAGAAAAAGGGCCUUUUAAAAUCGAGAGGAUAGUGACAUAUGUACCUCUCAAAUCUCUUGAAGGGAGAAUUGUCAUUGGUAUUUUUCUAGUUUUAAAAUUCGUCACUUUGGACUUUUUCAAAAAAAAAAAAAAGUGUGUUUCUUUCAUUUCUUCUAAAAAAUUUGAAAAAAAAGAGAGAAAAAAAAGAGAGAUUGCAAAUCCACCAACUUGAGCAACGUGCAUUUAAGCCUUUCAGUUAGAUAGUAUAGGACUUGCGUUUUCGUUUCUUUCAGUAUUUCAUUGGGCUCGGGUCAAUCCCACCAAUCUGUUAUUUAAAAAAAAAAUCAAAAAUCAAAUCAAAAUCAAUCAAGAAGAUCCAAUUUAAAUUCCUGUUGGAGCGUAAUCGCGUCCCUCCGCGCAUAUUUAAUUUCUUGUUGGUGAGUCUCAGCGUCCACCGCGUACCCUUCUAUCUCCCCUUCUUGACAGAUCAGAAGAUCAUAUUUAAUUUCUUGUUGGUGAGUCUCAGCGUCCACCGCGCACCCUUCUACCUCCCCUUCUUGAUCAAUUUAAUUUCCUGUUGGUGAGUCUCAGCGUCCACCGCGCACACUUCUACCUCCCAUUCUUGAUCAAUUUAAAUUUCUGUUGGAGCGUAAUUGCAUCCCUCCGCGCAUCAAUUUAAUUUCCUGUUGGUGAGUCUCAGCGUCCACCGCGCACCCUUCUACCUCCCAUUCUUGAUCAAUUUAAUUUUCUGCUGGUGAGUCUCAGCGUCCACCGCGCACCCUUCUACCUCCCAUUCUUGAUAAAUUUAAAUUUCUAUUGGAGCGUAAUUGCGUCCCUCCGCGCAUCAAUUUAAUUUCCUGUUGGUGAGUCUCAGCGUCCACCGCGCACCCUUCUACCUCCCAUUCUUGAUCAAUUUAAUUUUCUGCUGGUGAGUCUCAGCGUCCACCGCGCACCCUUCUACCUCCCAUUCUUGAUAAAUUUAAAUUCCUGUUGGAGCGUAAUCGCGUCCCUCCGCGCAUCAAUUUAAUUUCCUGUUGGUGAGUCUCAGCGUCCACCGCGCACCCUUCUACCUCCCAUUCUUGAUCAAUUUAAUUUUUCUGUUGGUGAAUCUCAGCAUUCACCGCGCACCCUUCUACCUCUCAUUCUUGACAAUUUAAUUUCCUGUUGGAGCGUAAUCGCGUCCCUCCGCGCAUCAAUUUAAUUUUCUGUUGGUGAGUCUCAGCGUCCACCGCGCACCCUUCUACCUCCCCCUUCUUGAAAAAUUUAAUUUCCUAUUGGUGAGUCUCAGCGUCCACCGCGCACCCUUCUGUCCCCCUUCUCGACAAUUUAAAUUUUGUUGGUGAGUCUCAGCGUCCACCUCGCACCCUUCUACCUCCCAUUCUUGACAAAUUUAAAUUCCUGUUGGAGCGUAAUCGCGUCCCUCCGCGCAUCAAUUUAAUUUCUUAUUAGUGAGUCUCAGCGUCCACCGCGCACCCUUCUACCUCCCUUUCUUGACAAUUUAAAUUCAUGUUGGUGAGUCUCAGCGUCCACCGCGCACCCUUCUACCUCCCCUUCUUGAUAAUUUAAAUUCAUGUUGGUGAGUCUCAGCGUCCACCGCGCACCCUUCUAUCUCCCAUUCUUGACAAUUUAAUUCCUGUUGGAGCAGAAUCGCGUCCCUCCGCGCAUCAAUUUAAUUUCCUAUUGGUGAGUCUCAGCGUCCACCGCGCACCCUUCUGUCCCCCUUCUCGACAAUUUAAAUUUUUGUUGGUGAGUCUCAGCGUCCGCCGCGCACCCUUCUAUCCCCCUUCUUGGAGCGUAAUCGCGUCCCUCCGCGCAUCUUUUUCUAAUUAUGACAAGUUACUUUUCUUGACUGUUUUGACCAAUAAUUGUUGUGCUUUCUCAUUCAUUUGAUGUUUCAUGUUUAGAAGUUCUGAGAGCUCAGAAUUUUUCGACUUUGCAAAGACCACAGUUGGUCAAUGCACUUGUUUCAUUGUGGUUCACUUGCAUUCGAACUACGUUUGACCUGAUUCCCAUGGUGGGAUACGUAGGCAACUCUACAUGGGUCCGGUCACAUUUUCUGCAAUGUUAUUGCAUCAUUUUGUCCAAUAAUUUCAGCCAAGUGUUGGUUUGUUUAUUUUAGUUCAGGUGCAGCUACAAGAGACAGGUAAGCAAUUUGGUGUCUACGUCUUUGUCUUGAGUUUCUUUGAAACUCUAGACAAAGAGGGGCAAGCUGUAGACACCAAAUUUUUGUCAAUUUUUAAUAUUUUCUCAGGAUUUUUCUAUUUAAUAAGUUAUUUAUUUUCUUGUAUUUUAAUGUGCAUUUUCUCAUUUUUGCAGGUUUGCUUUACAAAAAGAGAAAAAAAAAAAACAACAAAACAACAAAAAUCAAAAAAAAUCAAAAAAAAAAUCAAAAAAUCAUUUUGAUCAUUUUGUUUCACCAAAUUAACUAUUAACCCAUUUCACACUCAAUGGCCAUGGACUUGUCUUUUCAUUAAUUGAGAAAUCAUCAUUUUGGAAGAUUCAGCACACAAGCUCCAUUUUGGCUACAAGACAUCUCUCGGCUCUCUCCAGGAGAGAAGAAGGAAGAGAGGAAAAAAUUUUCCCUCCCUCUCUCGGCUAGCUCUUAACAGACGAGAACAAAAACCAAACAAAAGAAAAAAAACUACUUCCUCAAUCUCCUCUCUCGGCUCUCACGGACAGAGGACAAGAAAAAAAAAGAGAGACUCCACCCUUUUGGCUCAAUUUGCUCUCUCGGCUCUCUCCCUCAUCAGACAAGAGGAACAAAAAAAAAAAAAGGGGGCUCCCUCUACACAUUUUCUUCCACAAAAUCCAAACACAUUUGCACACAACAAGGCAGCAAUCGGUUGGAUUGGAGCUUGGCAAUUUCAUCAAAAAUCUUGGCAAAGGGACCAAACUCUUCAUUGAGGUAUUUAUCUCCCUUUUUUCCAGCUUUUCUUUUUUUAAUUAACUAGAUUGAAUGUAUGUGUGGUUACUUUUUUUAUUGCUUAUUUUUGCUGGUUUUUGUUGGUGUUGUAUGGAUGAAAUUUUGGGAUGGGUCAUGAACAAAAUUAGGAAAAAAAGAAACGGUGCUGUGAAUGCAUGCCAAAUGUUUGAAAAAAGGUUUGAAUGAAAAAAUGAAUCAAAGGAGUGAAUUUGGUGUGUAUGUUUUGCUUAAAUGGAUGACCAUUAGCUAGCAAAGAUCUGAAAAUGCUUGGUUAUCCAAAAUUUUGGGAGUUUUUGAGCCUUCAAAGCAUUAGAAUAAUUUUCUUCAUUUUUGGGGCUGCUUUGACUUAAUGCUUUAUUUUGUUGUU